UUCCAUACAAUGUCUUAGUUGGAUUCUGGAGUUUUGUUUUGUAGAUACUUGAAAUUGUCGUAAACUAUUUUAUAGUUAUGAUGCCUUUUCUGAAGUGCAUGGGGGCUGUUUAUGCAGUAUUUUGUUCUAAUUACUAAUUAUGUCUAUUUUUUGGUAAAAAAAUAAAAAUAGAAUAUUGUAUAUUAAACAAGUUAGUGAACUUUUUGAGUUUAUGAGACUAUUGAAAUUAGCUUAUUUGUUGUCUAGAAGUUGAAAAAGACUAGACACUACUAGAAAAAUAUGAUAUGAUGACGCACAUUCUACAUCGGUGCUGAAGAACCCGUCGUAGUUGUCAACACGGUGGCAAUUACGUAAUUAUAUAAGUUUUUUAUGUGGCGCGUUUGUUGUACAACGACGUUUGUCUAGAACCCCGUCGUUGUAGUUUUGAUGGAAGUCAUCAAAGAUGGUGCUUGUAGGUACACCGUCCUAGAAAUAGUCACAUACAAAGUCGGUGUCACUAAACACCGUCGUAAAUUUUGUACUUUAUAUAGUCUCGUGGUAAACACCCUCGUACCCUCCAAAAACCUAGCGCCCCCGCUAUUGCCUGAACUACUUCAUCCCGCCGUGAACUUCGUCCCGCUACCACCCUGACGUUUUGUUUCUCGUCGUGAAGUACUUGAAGCCGAAGUGGACCUGCUGCUCCCACCACCGGUACCGCCACGUAGCCGAAGUCGUGCCUUUUUGAGUGGCGUUGCCACCUUUUGAGUGUUCCUAAAGAUGUGACAUUUCUUGAUCAAGUAUGUGGGGGUUGGUGAAUCAAAGGAUGUGCAGGCCUUCUACUAUUCAAUUGAGUCAGAGAACAAUCCCAAAGAGGAUCCUCUCAUGCUUUGGCUUAUUGUGGCCCUGGUUACUCAUGGUUUCCUCGCAUUGUCCUUGAAAUUGUUGCAUUUAAUCAUGAGCAAUAUAAUGGGAGCCUUCCCACUUUGAUCUUGAGGCUACAAUCACAGACAAAGUCAGGGAAGUGCUACCUUGUCAUAUCCAAACCACGUACAAAUUUUUGGGAGCUUUCACCACAUGCUUUAACACCAAUGCAUGGGAGAGUUAAUGUCUGGCCAAAGCAGAUGCUGUGUGGAUAUCUAAAGAGUAGAGAAGCUAAUAUUGUGGAAGUAAUUGAAGGUGGAGCAAAAUCUUUGUUUGACAUUAUAGCAUAUGCAUAUUCUGAUGUUGACCACCGUGUCUGGAUUGCUAUCAUCAAAUGUGAGGCUCCAUGUGGAUCAUCUAGCCCAACAACACAAUUUACCAAAGCAAAAGAAGAUGCUUGUUAGCUUGUAAAUGAAGUUGUAUGAGAAGGGUAUUUGGUGUGGUGGGUCUUCCUAAUCCAUUGAAGAGAAAUUAUUAAAAUAUGAAGUAUGUUCUUAUCUAAAUCACCCUUAUUUAUCCAGAUUAAGGCAGCCUUCAGUAGAAUAUAGGAAGGUGCAAAGUUCCCUCUUUUGGGGUAGAGUCAAUUCAUCAAUUAGGAGUUGGUGAGAGAAUGGAAGCCACAGAGCAGAACAAUUCAAAGGUGAUGUUGAUUGAUUCUUUGCAAUCAUGGGAGUUCCACGUCAACCAAGCCUAUAAUCAGAAUACUCCUCUAAGACACUCAUUUUAAGCCAAAGUUUGGAUCUUUUAAUUUUUUUCAACCCUGGUCUGGAAAGAGUGUGCAAAAAGGGCAUUUAAGCUUCAAGUUAUUUACAAAAUUCAUUUUUUACUUUGAUUUUGUAUUUUUGGUUUUCAAUGCUUGUUUUAAUUUGUCUUCUUGUUCUUCCUUGUGGAUAUAGUAUAUUAAUUUAUGGCUUAUGUAUUUUGUGGGAUGGAUCAAUGUAGGUUGUUGUUGUAACAGUCGUAACUUUCCAUAACUUUUAAUAAGUAAAUAAGAAAUUAAUAAAUAAAUAAAUAAGUAAAAAAAAUUAUUAGGUCAUAAAUUCUUAUUAUAUAAGCCAAAUGUUAACCUAGAGCAGCAAAAACACAUUCUGUUCCUUUCUUCUUUUCUGACGCACAAGAACCCUAACAGAGCAAUCAGAGGAGGAGCUCUAGAGAGCACCAAAGAUGCCACAAUUGCUAACAGAGAACAUUUAAGCGACUACAUCGAGGUGAGCCUUCAUAUGAUGAGUCACAUGCUAGAGAUGGAGAGACUUAGUCUGUGAUAGGAAUAUGCUCUGAUAAGUGUGACAUUGAGGCAUAGGAUUUUACUUCGCUUAUUAUGAUUUUCGCAUGUUAUGAUUUACUGAAUGAUAUAAUUGCGUUAUACUUUUUCUAUUUUAGUUUUUUUUAUUAUUUAUUUAGAGGG